GGGCGAUUAACUCAGAGGUUAGAGUGCCAUCUUCACACGGUGGAAGUCACAGGUUCGAAUCCCGUAUCGCCCACCA
rnacentral:tRNA from 1 species